UCUCAGUUCGGAUUGCAGGCUGCAACUCGCCUGUAUGAAGUCGGAAUUGCUAGUAAUCGCGGAUCAGCAUGCCGCGGUGAAUACGUUCCCGGGCCUUGUACACACCGCCCGUCACACCAUGAGAGCCGGGAACACCCGAAGUCCGUAGUCUAACCGUAAGGAGGACGCGGCCGAAGGUGGGUUUGGUAAUUGGGGGUGAAGUCGUAACAAGGUAGC
rnacentral:rRNA from 1 species